rnacentral:misc_RNA from 2 species
UCACCCCUCAAGCCCGGCUUGUUGUUGGACGUCGGCGGCGGCCUUUAGUGGCGUACCGCCCGUCUCAAAGAUAAUGACGGCGUCUGUGAGGACACCUGUACACUGAGCUUUCGGGCACGUACUAGGCUGAUACUUGCAGACCCGGUCUUCGGGUUCGCUUCGGCGUCCCCAACUUUUUUACCAA